rnacentral:rRNA from 1 species
UGGUCUAAGUAUAAGGCAUUUAUACUGCGAAACUGCGAAUGGCUCAUUAAAUCAGUUAUCGUUUAUUUGAUAGUACCUUAUUACUUGGAUAACCGUGGUAAUUCUAGAGCUAAUACAUGCUAAAAAUCCCGACUCACGGAGGGAUGUAUUUAUUAGAUUAAAAACCAAUGCCCUUCGGGGCUCCUUGGUGAUUCAUAAUAACUUGUCGGAUCGCAUGGCCUUGCGCUGGCGAUGGUUCAUUCAAAUUUCUGCCCUAUCAACUUUCGAUGGCAGGGUCUUGGCCUGCCAUGGUUACAACGGGUAACGGAGGGUUAGGGCUCGACCCCGGAGAAGGAGCCUGAGAAACGGCUACUACAUCCAAGGAAGGCAGCAGGCGCGCAAAUUACCCAAUCCCGAUACGGGGAGGUAGUGACAAUAAAUACUGAUACAGGGCUCUUUUGGGUCUUGUAAUUGGAAUGAGUACAAUUUAAAUCCCUUAACGAGGAACAAUUGGAGGGCAAGUCUGGUGCCAGCAGCCGCGGUAAUUCCAGCUCCAAUAGCGUAUAUUAAAGUUGUUGCAGUUAAAAAGCUCGUAGUUGAACCUUGGGCCUGGCUGGCCGGUCCGCCUCACCGCGUGCACUGGUUCGGCCGGGCCUUUCCCUCUGGGGAACCCCAUGCCCUUCACUGGGUGUGGCGGGGAACCAGGACUUUUACUGUGAAAAAAUUAGAGUGUUCAAAGCAGGCCUAUGCUCGAAUACAUCAGCAUGGAAUAAUAGAAUAGGACGUGCGGUUCUAUUUUGUUGGUUUCUAGGACCGCCGUAAUGAUUAAUAGGGACAGUCGGGGGCAUCAGUAUUCAAUUGUCAGAGGUGAAAUUCUUGGAUUUAUUGAAGACUAACUACUGCGAAAGCAUUUGCCAAGGAUGUUUUCAUUAAUCAGGAACGAAAGUUAGGGGAUCGAAGACGAUCAGAUACCGUCGUAGUCUUAACCAUAAACUAUGCCGACUAGGGAUCGGACGAUGUUAUUUUUUGACUCGUUCGGCACCUUACGAGAAAUCAAAGUCUUUGGGGUCCUGGGGGGGAGU